rnacentral:rRNA from 1 species
CCUACGGGAGGCAGCAGUGGGGAAUAUUGGACAAUGGGGGCAACCCUGAUCCAGCCAUGCCGCGUGUGUGAAGAAGGCCCUCGGGUUGUAAAGCACUUUCAGUGAGGAAGAACGCCUGGUGGUUAAUACCCAUCAGGAAAGACAUCACUCACAGAAGAAGCACCGGCUAACUCCGUGCCAGCAGCCGCGGUAAUACGGAGGGUGCGAGCGUUAAUCGGAAUUACUGGGCGUAAAGCGCGCGUAGGUGGCUUGAUAAGCCGGUUGUGAAAGCCCCGGGCUCAACCUGGGAACGGCAUCCGGAACUGGCAAGCUAGAGUGCAGGAGAGGAAGGUAGAAUUCCCGGUGUAGCGGUGAAAUGCGUAGAGAUCGGGAGGAAUACCAGUGGCGAAGGCGGCCUUCUGGACUGACACUGACACUGAGGUGCGAAAGCGUGGGUAGCAAACAGGAUUAGAUACCCAAGUAGUC